ensembl:lncRNA
CAGGUAGCAAGUUCAGCAGGUAGCAGUGACUCAAAUCUACAAAAAGAAUCUUGGUUUUUCCAGAGUUGUACUGAUUCUUUAAGUAUGAAGAAAAUGGACACUAUUCAUAACCCUCUGAAGAUAUAAAGGUCGCAAGUGCUAAGGGUUCUCCUAGUGGAGUAUAGACAUGAUGAUUUCUGGGUGGGUUUCUCUGUUGCACAAGGUCUCUUGUUUAAUCAUUUUACACAGUGAAGUGUUAAUCACCAUUUAAGUUUGUCUUUGUCUUGUAACUUCAUUAGUUGAAUACACACCUCACUCUGGAAAUAUGGUGACCCCUUCAAUAAAGUUUUAAUUGGCCUUGAGCCAUACAUUCUUGGCAAACUUUAAUUCUCUGCAAAAAUCUGAAGAAAAGCAAAUACUUACAGGCAGGUAUUUAACUUCAUUCAUUUCUUUAAAAUAAAUGCACCAAGC